rnacentral:misc_RNA from 1 species
AGCAGCCGCGGUAAUUCCAGCUCCAAUAGCGUAUAUUAAAGUUGUUGCAGUUAAAAAGCUCGUAGUUGAAUUUCGGGAUUAAUUUACUGGUCGUGCUAUUGUACGUACUGGUUUUAUUGAUUCCUCCCUUCUGACGAACUAUGAUGUCAUUAAUUUGGUGUCAUAGGGAAUCAGGACUGUUACUUUGAAAAAUUAGAGUGUUUAAAGCAGGCUCACGCUUGAAUACAUUAGCAUGGAAUAACGGAAUAGGACGUUUGAUUCUAUUUUGUUGGUUUCUAGGAUCGACGUAAUGAUUAAUAGGGAUAGUUGGGGGCAUUAGUAUUCAAUUGUCAGAGGUGAAAUUCUUGGAUUUAUUGAAGACUAACUACUGCGAAAGCAUUUGCCAAGGAUGUUUUCA